GAUGAACGCUAGCGGCAGGCUUAACACAUGCAAGUCGAGGGGCAGCGCGGGAUAGCAAUAUCCUGGCGGCGACCGGCGGAAGGGUGCGUAACGCGUGAGCGACAUGCCCGUUGCCCGGGGACAACCGGUGGAAACGCCGACUAAUCCCCGAUGGGAUACGAUGCUUCAUGGCAUUGUAUUGAAAGUUACGGCGGCGACGGUUUGGCUCGCGUCCGAUUAGCUGGUUGGCGGGGUAACGGCCCACCAAGGCUGCGAUCGGUAGGGGUUCUGAGAGGAAGGCCCCCCACAAUGGGACUGAGACACGGCCCAUACUCCUACGGGAGGCAGCAGUGAGGAAUAUUGGUCAAUGGGCGGAAGCCUGAACCAGCCAUGCCGCGUGCGGGAAGGAGGCCCUAUGGGCUGUGAACCGCUUUUGCCUGGGGGCAAUAAGGGCGUCGCGCACGUCCGAUGAGAGUACCAGGCGAAUAAGCAUCGGCUAACUCCGUG
rnacentral:rRNA from 1 species